GCGGACGUGGUGAAAUUGGUAGACACGCUAGAUUUAGGUUCUAGUGAGAAUAUCUCGUGAGAGUUCGAGUCUCUCCGUCCGCA
rnacentral:tRNA from 2 species